UGGGGAAUAUUGCGCAAUGGGGGAAACCCUGACGCAGCGACGCCGCGUGGAGGAUGAAGGUCUUCGGAUUGUAAACUCUUGUCGACAGGGACGAGUGAGGACGGUACCUGUGGAGGAAGCCCCGGCUAACUACGUGCCAGCAGCCGCGGUAAUACGUAGGGGGCGAGCGUUGUCCGGAAUUACUGGGUGUAAAGGGCAUGUAGGCGGGUGAUUAAGUCAGUUGUGAAAUUUCCAGGCUUAACUUGGGAGCUGCAACUGAAACUAAUCAUCUUGAGUGCAGGAGAGGAAAGCGGAAUUCCUAGUGUAGCGGUGAAAUGCGUAGAUAUUAGGAGGAACACCAGUGGCGAAGGCGGCUUUCUGGACUGUAACUGACGCUGAGAUGCGAAAGCGUGGGGAGCGAACAGG
rnacentral:rRNA from 1 species